CAUAAAUUCUGGAAUGUUUUAUGGUCGAAAGUUCCGGCGCUUCAGGAUUGGUCUGCGGCCUAUCAGGUAGUAGUGGGUGUAACGGACCCACUAGCCAGUGACGGGUAUGGGCCUUGAGAGAGGGAGCCCAGAGAUGGAAUCUGAGACACGAUUCCAGGCCCUACGGGGCGCAGCAGUCGCGAAAACUUCACAAUGGGGGCAACCCCGAUGAGGGAAUUCCUAGUGUAGCACAUUUGUGUUAGCUUUUCUUAAGCGUAGAUAACUUAAGGAAUAAGGGCUGGGUAAGACGGGUGCCAGCCGCCGCGGUAAUACCCGCAGCCCAAGUGGUGGUCGAUUUUAUUGAGUCUAAAACGUUCGUAGCCGGUUCAUUAAAUCCUUGGGUAAAUCGGGAGGCUUAACUUUCCGACUUCCGAGGAGACUGGUGAACUUGGGACCGGGAGAGGCAAGAGGUACUUCUGGGGUAGGGGUAAAAUCCUGUAAUCCUAGAAGGACCACCGGUGGCGAAGGCGUCUUGCUAGAACGGAUCCGACGGUGAGGGACGAAGCCCUGAGUCGCAAACGGGAUUAGAUACCCCGGUAGUCCAGGGUGUAAACGCUGCAGACUUGGUGUUGGGGACCCUUCGGGGGUGUUCAGUGCCGGAGAGAAGUUGUUAAGUCUGCUACUUGGGGAGUACGUCCGCAAGGAUGAAACUUAA
rnacentral:rRNA from 1 species